CUACGGAGGGUGCAAGCGUUAAUCGGAAUUACUGGGCGUAAAGAGUACGUAGGUGGUUUGUUAAGUCAGAUGUGAAAGCCCCGGGCUCAACCUGGGAACUGCAUUUGAAACUGGCAAACUAGAGUAUGGUAGAGGGGGGUAGAAUUUCUAGUGUAGCGGUGAAAUGCGUAGAUAUUCGAAGGAAUACCAGUGGCGAAGGCGGCCCCCUGGACCAAUACUGACACUGAGGUACGAAAGCAUGGGUAGCGAACAGGAUUAGAAACCCCAGUAGUCC
rnacentral:rRNA from 1 species